GAUCGGCUGUGUUCAAUACUGUGUUAGUCAUUUGCUCAUACAAAUGGUACAAUAUUGUGACUAAAUGAUUAAGGUUAUUGGCGUUGUAAUGUAAAGCUUUACGGUCAUCAAGAUGUUUCGUAAUGUAUCCAAAGGUGUGUUGUGUUCGCCAUAAGAGAAAUUAAGACUGUUGACCCAUUGUUGCUUUCCUUGGCCCCUGAGCCGACCAUUUCUGUCAGUGUUAGAAAUGCUCAUACAGUGCCACUGAAGGGAUAUGCUUUCCGUUUGUAUUAUUCAACUGCCUGGCUUUUCCUGGAGGAAAAUGGAAGAGAAUUCUGUCCGUAAGUGUAAGGAAAUGUAAAUACCGUGCCGAUGAAGGAAUUGCAUUCCAGGAGUAUUGUUAUUCAAAUGCCGACUUUUCCAGGAGGAAACUGAAAGAGGAAUUCUGUCCGCAAGUGUGAGGAAAUAUAAAUACCGUACCGAUGAAGGAAUUGCAUUCCUGGCGUAUUGUCAUUUAACUGGCUGGCUUUUCCAAGGGGAAAAUUGUUGAGAUUCAUAAACUAGGAGGUUUGCAGCUUAACCUAGUACAAUAGGCGUUCAUUAGCCAUUGCCAGCUUUUCUGGAACAAGGAAGGUUUUCAUCCUAGGCCUAGUGCAGUAGGCAUACGUUAAUGUUGGAUUUUCAUGGAGGGCGAUGGCAGAGAUUCUGGAACUAACAUUAAGUAAGAUAUCUGAUGAAGGCCAGAAUUCGUAGACUUCUAACAAACUAAUCAGUUUGCUCAAGGAGAACGACAAGGUUACAGAUGCUCCAAAAACAGUGGUUGGUAGAGACCGAGAAGCAUUCACAUCUACCUGACAUGGGGAGCGAACCCCGUGUCCAUAAUCCUCGCAGCAACAGGACUCUCCCAAGUUAUACACAGAACAUCUGGUAGACUUGAUUGUACUUAAGAAUGAAAAUAAUUCCCCAAUCAAAAGCGCUGAAAGGUUAUGUUAUAAGUACUGUUGUCAACACGUGAGAAAUAUAACAUACUGCCACUUGCCAUUUGAAGAACAUUUUGGAAACUUUCUUUAAUUUUAUUACUUGUUGAAAGUUGCCUCUUCUAAUGGAUUAGGAAGUCUUCUAGGUACCUCAUCCCCCCCCCCCCCCCCCCCAUACAAGUUCAUGUAUUUGAAUAUAUAUAAUCAUAUGAGUGAUAAACCCUUUCAUUUUCACUUAUGCCAUUCUUCCCCGAGACUUGAGCAGGUGGCACAACUAGCAAAAACGCUUUGGUUAUUAGUAGGUAGGAUCUCCUCAUAUUAGUUGGGUUCCCUGUCUUCCCUGUAAUUUCUCAUGCACUUUGAUCAAAUGUUCCAGAGUGCUGUUUUGACUGUUUUUGUCCUCCUAACUUGGCUCGGCAAUCUCAAGGAAUCUUCAUGUUGCUAUUUUGAUUAUUGUUAUGGGGAUUCAUCAACUACUGAUGCAGCUGCUAAACCUUAGUAUAUAGUGUGUGUGAUUUUUUGUUUGUUUGUUCUGUUAAGAAUCCCUUGUGCAGUGAUGAGUGGUUAUGUUGUACUUCAUGUUUGUCUCAAUGUUGUUUCAAGUGUCGUGUAUAUAUUUUUAUAUACUUCUGACACAUUUAUUUGCAUUUAUCUACAUAUUCUCUACUUUCUUCGAAGGUUCUGGUCUCUGUAAUGCUCUAUUUUAUAACUGCCUGUCAGCAGAAAACAGGUUAGGUACAUAAUUUCUUGUAUAAAGUGAGCACCUUUUAUAAGAACUCCUUUCAUCAUUUCUUGCUGAAUAGUGGAAUGUACCUGAUUUCGGAGACGGCAAGAAAUACCUAAUAUCUAUGAAUGUGUGAGAGUGGAAUGAGGAGCAGCGAAUGGUACUAGAAUGAAGCCUGUAUGAGUAAUGGAAAUAGUGCUUGGCAUAUUUUUUUAGGCCUCUUUAGUAAAGAGGUAUUGAUCUAGAGAAUCUGUUAUUUGUCGUUUGUUAUGCAUCAUUAGAUACUUUUUGUGUAACCUGUUAUCUCUAUAAAUUUAUGAAACGAAAACGGGGCAGUAUAUUAGAAUUUUACUCAGAUUCACUUACAUCGAAUGAAUUCUGCUGCUGGUGCUACGUACUAAUAACAACCCACCCUAAAUUAGAGCUGCAAGCUCCCUUAAUGGACAUAAUAUAUUUUAGCUAUAUUUCUUCUUUUGCAUUUAUGUUUUCCUUCGUGUAAUUAAAAAUGUAUCGCUUUUUACAACGAGGUCUUUAGUAUAUCCUUGGAGUAAGUACGAACACUAAGUAUCACUAUUUGGCAAAUUCUUUACCAGGUUCUUAUAGUACAAUACAAGUUAGCGUGGCAUUUUGACGGUGAAUACUUUUAAUGUAUUGUACAUUUCAAAUGGAAACAUGUAAAUAACUCAGUAUGAGGAGCUGAAGUUACAUGAGUUAAACUGAAAUCAUAAGAAUCUCGGUGAUCCCCCCAAAUGUUUUAAUGGUUCCCUUGGCAACGAAAGAAUGGGAAUUUGUGUCAACGUAAGUAGGCUGUAAUACCCCUUCGGAGCAACCUUAUUACCUUAUUUUUCGAUGUUAAGGGGCUCCUAUUUCUUUGAUGGUUGAUAUUCUUUUUGGAUAUUAAAGUCUGUCUUUUUCAUAAUUGAGCCCUUAUGCUAUUAAAGCUUCCUCAAUAGGCAAUGCUCUUUCAAACUUACUUCACGAGGUUAGAUCAUUCAUAUAAUAAGUUGUCUCCCUACCAAUUACCUUUGAAGCAACAGUGAAAAAAGGGAUUGCAGUUUGUAUAGUCACUCAGAGUUUUUAAAGGCUGAAGUUUCUUUUAUAUAAAGCUCUCCAAUUCUACUGGUGACUUCCCUCCUCCCACUUCCUUCGAUUGCUACACAUCUCUGUUCUGCAGGAAUAUUUUUGGAUGGAGAAACUUGGCAGACGAGAUGAUAGAGACUCCCAAGUAGGUGGAAGCCCAAGCUAUUAGUAACUCCAUCCUUUAUAGCAGUUGAAAUAGUUAAUUUGGUUUGUCUGUUCUUGACUGAGCAUCUAGGCACAAGUGAAAAUAAAAGGUUUGUUUCCAGGAAGCAAAAGGUUAAGAUAGUUAAAGCACAGGUCUACAUGAAGACAUUUUAUUUAACUUAUUUGCUUCUCCAUAUGUGAUUGCCGUCUGUUGUCUGUUGUACAGUUGUUUUAACAAAUAUGGCAUAGCUGUAUAGAUGAAAUUGUGUGUUUUGGCCAUGUUAGAAUUUUGUUUUAAAGUAUUGUUGUCAAGAAACAAGAUUCUAAAAGUUUUUAGACUUGUCAAGCAUUAGUGAAACCCCAAUGGAGUGUAUUACUUGAGAAGCAUUGUUUGUGAUAUAAAGUACUAUAUGGUAAGUUGUUUUGAAAGGCAUUGUUUGUGAUAAAAAGUAUAUAGUAGGCUUUUUUUAUGUAAACUCAGGUUGCAAAUGACCCCUUUUCCAAAUAUAAUUCACCCCAGAUUUAUUCUGAGAUCACCACCUUUUAUGCAUUCUAUCAGUUACUCUACUACUUCGUAACACGAUAACUUUACCACAAUUAUUUAAUAGGCUGCAAUGUACCAUCGUACGUAACAGCUUUGUGCACAUCCAACUUGGUUUCUUGAUAAACCUCUUGGUCUCACCACUGGCCUUUUACCUUGUGGCCUUCACGUGAUAAUAUUUCCUUCUCGUCACGUGUCCAUAUCUUCUAGAUCUCAAUCCUAUUCCUAUCCUCUGAAUGCUGCCUCUCUCUCUCUCUCUCUCUCUCUCUCUCUCUCUCUCUCUCUCUCUCUCUCUCUCUUUUCAAUCUUCUUAUGGAAUCCAGACAUGAUUCAGUACAUCCAUUUUCUUUACAUUAAUGGCUUUACAGUAAUAGUGUAAUAUACGUACAAGACUUCUAGAAGUACUGCAAACUUAUUCUUACAAGCAAGACACUGCUUUACCAGCAUUAUAUUGUUCCCUUUCCACAUUAACCCAAUUAUUGUUAUUUUUUUUUCAUUACUGCUUUCUCAAUUCCAAAUUUACAACACAAUAUAUCCUUAACAGAAUUGUUCAAUUAUUUCCUUCCUCUUCUGCCUCACUGCCUUUUCUCCAUCCACCUGCCACUCUCCUUAUUCCUCUCCAGGCUCAUAUUUUACUAAUUUCUUACAUUAGUGGUUGAAAGCUGUCUUAAUUUUUCAGUUUCCCUCUGUACCUUAGCCUCCACCCGAAAAUGUGACCCCAGUACCUCUUAUGGGGCUUAGUGGGUCCCCUGGCUGACUGCAGUAGCUGUCUCCUCAUCUGUAUUUUUGUCAAAGAACUUGUACAGUAUUAUCAUUUCAGACUUAAUAAAAUAAUACAUAAACACUUCUCUAACUAUAAUAUUAAAAAAUAGAUCGGGUUUUGUGUUGGCAUUAAGAGCCUGUAGCCAAAAGACGGGUCCCAAUAGAGAAAAGUAUACCAAGCAUCUAAUACAUUAACCAUUAUAAACUCAAUGAGGCUAAUCUUAACCUGCAAGAUUUGGCUUCACCUUCAUUUCCUCUGUCGCUCUUAUAUGCAGUGUGUUUCUUGAAAACUUAAGUCUUCUAAUCCCUAUUGAAGCGAGGCUUCUUUGUGUUAGUGUUCCAAUAUUAAUAAUUUUUUCGUUAUUUUCUAUUUGCAGUUUACCAUUCUUAUCAACUAGAAUUCUAUUUGAGGUGGCAUUUCUUGUCAUUUUUAUUUAAUAUUGAUUAAUACUGGCUCCUCGGCUACUUAGAAUAACUGGCAUUACUUUUUUUAUAUUGCCUCUCUCUCUCUCUCUCUCUCUCUCUCUCUCUCUCUCUCUCUCUCUCUCUCUCUC